GACGAACGCUGGCGGCGUGCUUAACACAUGCAAGUCGAACGGAAAGGCCCUGCUUUUGUGGGGUGCUCGAGUGGCGAACGGGUGAGUAACACGUGAGUAACCUGCCCUUGACUUUGGGAUAACUUCAGGAAACUGGGGCUAAUACCGGAUAGGAGCUCCUGCUGCAUGGUGGGGGUUGGAAAGUUUCGGCGGUUGGGGAUGGACUCGCGGCUUAUCAGCUUGUUGGUGGGGUAGUGGCUUACCAAGGCUUUGACGGGUAGCCGGCCUGAGAGGGUGACCGGCCACAUUGGGACUGAGAUACGGCCCAGACUCCUACGGGAGGCAGCAGUGGGGAAUAUUGCACAAUGGGCGGAAGCCUGAUGCAGCAACGCCGCGUGCGGGAUGACGGCCUUCGGGUUGUAAACCGCUUUCGCCUGUGACGAAGCGUGAGUGACGGUAAUGGGUAAAGAAGCACCGGCUAACUACGUGCCAGCAGCCGCGGUGAUACGUAGGGUGCGAGCGUUGUCCGGAUUUACUGGGCGUAAAGGGCUCGUAGGUGGUUGAUCGCGUCGGAAGUGUAAUCUUGGGGCUUAACCCUGAGCGUGCUUUCGAUACGGGUUGACUUGAGGAAGGUAGGGGAGAAUGGAAUUCCUGGUGGAGCGGUGGAAUGCGCAGAUAUCAGGAGGAACACCAGUGGCGAAGGCGGUUCUCUGGGCCUUUCCUGACGCUGAGGAGCGAAAGCGUGGGGAGCGAACAGGCUUAGAUACCCUGGUAGUCCACGCUGUAAACGGUGGGUACUAGGUGUGGGGUCCAUUCCACGGGUUCCGUGCCGUAGCUAACGCUUUAAGUACCCCGCCUGGGGAGUACGGCCGCAAGGCUAAAACUCAAAGGAAUUGACGGGGCCCCGCACAAGCGGCGGAGCAUGCGGAUUAAUUCGAUGCAACGCGUAGAACCUUACCUGGGUUUGACAUGGAUCGGGAGUGCUCAGAGAUGGGUGUGCCUCUUUUGGGGUCGGUUCACAGGUGGUGCAUGGCUGUCGUCAGCUCGUGUCGUGAGAUGUUGGGUUAAGUCCCGCAACGAGCGCAACCCUUGUUCACUGUUGCCAGCACGUUAUGGUGGGGACUCAGUGGAGACCGCCGGGGUCAACUCGGAGGAAGGUGGGGAUGACGUCAAGUCAUCAUGCCCCUUAUGUCCAGGGCUUCACGCAUGCUACAAUGGCUGGUACAGAGAGUGGCGAGCCUGUGAGGGUGAGCGAAUCUCGGAAAGCCGGUCUCAGUUCGGAUUGGGGUCUGCAACUUGACCUCAUGAAGUCGGAGUCGCUAGUAAUCGCAGAUCAGCAACGCUGCGGUGAAUACGUUCCCGGG
rnacentral:rRNA from 1 species